rnacentral:misc_RNA from 1 species
UCUCCGUUGGUGAACCAGCGGAGGGAUCAUUACUGAGUUUACAACUCCCAAACCCUUUGUGAACCCAUCUUGUUGCUUCGGGGGCGACCCUGCCGGCACUCGGUCGCCGGGCGCCCCCGAAGGUCUCCCAACACUGCAUCGUUGCGUCGGAGUUUAACACAAAUUAAACAAAACUUUCAACAACGGAUCUCUUGGUUCUGGCAUCGAUGAAGAACGCAGC